rnacentral:rRNA from 1 species
AUGGAAGGGCCAUCGCUCAACGGAUAAAAGGUACUCCGGGGAUAACAGGCUGAUACCGCCCAAGAGUUCAUAUCGACGGCGGUGUUUGGCACCUCGAUGUCGGCUCAUCACAUCCUGGGGCUGAAGUAGGUCCCAAGGGUAUGGCUGUUCGCCAUUUAAAGUGGUACGCGAGCUGGGUUUAGAACGUCGUGAGACAGUUCGGUCCCUAUCUGCCGUGGGCGCUGGAGAACUGAGGGGGGCUGCUCCUAGUACGAGAGGACCGGAGUGGACGCAUCACUGGUGUUCGGGUUGUCAUGCCAAUGGCACUGCCCGGUAGCUAAAUGCGGAAGAGAUAAGUGCUGAAAGCAUCUAAGCACGAAACUUGCC